UAUGGUCAUAUCUUAUUGAAACACCAGUUCUUGUACAAUCAACAAAGUUAAGCAAUGUUGAGCCUGAUCAGCAGCUAGAUGGGUGAUCACUUGGGAAUACCAGAUGCUGUAAG